rnacentral:rRNA from 1 species
UACGUAGGUGGCAAGCGUUGUCCGGAUUUACUGGGCGUAAAGGAUGCGUAGGCGGAUACUUAAGUGGGAUGUGAAAUACCCGGGCUCAACCUGGGUGCUGCAUUCCAAACUGGAUAUCUGGAGUGCGGGAGAGGAGAGUGGAAUUCCUAGUGUAGCGGUGAAAUGCGUAGAGAUUAGGAAGAACACCAGUGGCGAAGGCGACUCUCUGGACCGUAACUGACGCUGAGGCAUGAAAGCGUGGGGAGCAAACACG